rnacentral:rRNA from 1 species
UGCCAUCAGCCGCGGUAAUACGGAGGGUGCUAGCGUUAUCCGGAUUUAUUGGGUUUAAAGGGUGCGUAGGCGGAAUAAUAAGUCAGUGGUGAAAUCCUGCGGCUCAACCGUAGAAUUGCCAUUGAUACUGUUAUUCUUGAAUAUAGUUGAGGUAGGCGGAAUGUGUAAUGUAGCGGUGAAAUGCUUAGAUAUUACAAAGAACACCGAUUGCGAAGGCAGCUUGCUACACUAUGAUUGACGCUGAUGAACGAAAGCGUGGGGAGCGAACAGGAUUAGAUA